rnacentral:misc_RNA from 1 species
AAAAAAAAAAAAGAAAAAAGGAACAACCUUUUCUUGCCGUUAUGAAGGUUGAUUUGGAGGUCCCAGCAGCCAUUUAAACAGCAAUCUAACAAGUAAAUUAUCUUUUGAAUGAGUCGCUCACAUUAGAAGAUGAAGAUUGGGGUCCGCCACCCACCAAAAGUGGAGGAAGUCGACGCCACCUCAUUCUUAAUUGUUUUCAUAAAUUUUUCAACCACUUCCCUCCUUUCUUAGUACUACGUAUAUGUUUGCCUUUUUUUU